rnacentral:rRNA from 1 species
UGGGGAAUUUUGGACAAUGGGCGAAAGCCUGAUCCAGCCAUUCCGCGUGAGUGAAGAAGGCCUUCGGGUUGUAAAGCUCUUUCGGCAGGAAAGAAAUCGUUGCCCCUAAUACGGGUAAUGGAUGACGGUACCUGAAGAAGAAGCACCGGCUAACUACGUGCCAGCAGCCGCGGUAAUACGUAGGGUGCGAGCGUUAAUCGGAAUUACUGGGCGUAAAGCGUGCGCAGGCGGUUUUGUAAGUCAGAUGUGAAAGCCCCGGGCUCAACCUGGGAACUGCGUUUGAAACUACAAGGCUAGAGUGUGUCAGAGGGGGGUAGAAUUCCACGUGUAGCAGUGAAAUGCGUAGAGAUGUGGAGGAAUACCGAUGGCGAAGGCAGCCCCCUGGGAUAACACUGACGCUCAUGCACGAAAGCGUGGGGAGCAAACAGG